rnacentral:lncRNA from 1 species
UUCAAGAAGCAUAUUCUGCUUCCAUACUCUGCUGGAAUUCUGUCACCACCAUUUUGCUAAGUUAGGACUAGCCUGCUGGAAGAUUAAGAGACCAUGUAAGGAAAUUCAGUAGUUCCAGAAACUGUUUUUGACCAGCUGAUAGCCAGCUGACUUACAGCUGCCUACACCAAUCUACGACUGACCACAGAGAUGUGGGUGACAUCAAGGCAGAGAAGACAUCUUGCUUAACAUUUUGGAUUCAAGGGAAUGAGGUACACUACUAGUCUGUGAUCCCAUACCUCACAUAAAAUAAAAAUUUAACUCAGAAUAAAACAUAGACCUAAAUGUAAGAGCUAAAACUAUGAAACAUCUCUAAAAACUAGAAGAAAAUCUUCAUUGUUUUGAGUUAGGCAAAGAUUUCUUAGGUCACAGAAGGCACAAACCAUUAAAGAAAAUAUUGGUAUAUUUAUUUAACUUCAUGAAAAUGUAAAAACUUCUCAAAGACAUCGUUAACAGAAAUAAACGGACAAGUCACAGACUGGGAGAUAAUAUUUGCAAAGCACCUAACUUCUGAAGACUUGUAUCCAGAAUACAUAAAGAACUAUUGUGACUAAAGGAUACAAAAAAAAAAAAAUUAAAGAGGAGCAAAGAUUUGAACAGACACCGUACCAAAGAAGUGAUACAGCUGGCAAAUAAGGACAUGAAAAGAUACUAAAUAUCAUUAGUCAUUUGGUAAAUCAAAACCAAAACCACAGUGAGAUACCACUACAUUUCAACUUGAAUGGCUAAAAUCAAAGACAGGCAAUACCAAGUUCUGGGAGAAUGUGCAAGUGCAAAAUGGUAUAGACACUUGGGAAAACAGUUGGGUAAUUUCUUGAAACUUUACACAUACUCCUACUAUAUAAUUCAGUCAUUCUGCUCCUAGAUAUUUACAUAUAUGACUACACAAAAUUCUGUAAGUAAAUGCUUACAGCAGCUUUAUUCAUAAUAACCAACAAGCGAAUACAACACAAAUAUCCAUUAACUGAUGAAGAAUAAAGAAAUUGUGAUAUAUCCAUACAAUGGAAUAAUAUUCUGCAAUAAAAAAAUAAACUACUGAUACAAGCAACAACAUGAAUGAAUGUCAAAAGCAUUAUGCCAGUGAAAGAAGACAGACACAAAAGGCUAUAUAUUGUAUGAUCCCUUUUAUGAUAUCCUGGAAAAGGCAAAACUGUGAGGCACAAAGCAGAUAAGGAGAUGCCACGGGAUGGUAGAGAUGAAGAUAUUGACUUCCAAGGUGCCAUAUAAGGGAAUUUGGAGGGAUGGUAGAAAUCUGUAUCUUGAUAAUGAGGCUGGUUACAUGACUAUAAACGUUGAAAACUCAAUGUUCAUGCUAAAAAGAAAAUUAGUCGAGAGUAAAAGAGAAUUGGGCAGCUUAAAAGAGAAUUUGUAAAGUAGAAGAUUGUUCUGAACCAAGAAUAACAAUGCAGCAUAUGGAGUUUCACAGAUAGAAAAUUUCAAAAAGCAGUUAACAGAUAAUUAGGGUAACAGAUAAUAGUCUAACAUAUAGUCAAUAGGGAUUCCGAAAGGAAAGACUUAGAGAAUGUUGAAAGAAAAUUACUAUCAAAUAGCUAAAUUAUCAUUCAAAUGCACUAGAAAAAUACAUUUUCAAUGAAAUAAAAAAUUAAGUAAUUUAUCCCUAAUAGAUCACCCUAAGAAUACUAAAGGAAGAAAACUGAACCAGAAGAAAGGAGUGAAAUGCAAAAUAAUAAUAAUAAUAUCAGGCAUAGAAGUUGGUAAGCAUGUGAGUAAGUCUAAAUAAUAAUCUACUAUAUAAAAUAAUUACUAUUUUGGCAGUGUAAAGCAUGAUAGAAACAAAAUACUAGACUAUAGUCACAUGUAAAAUGGAAGUAAAGUAAAUAAUCCAAGUGAAAGCAUUUAAAUAUUCUUUCAUUUUUGGGAAGAGGCUAGAGACAUUUUCGAUUUUAUUCAUUCAGAUACGCUUCUUCAGCUUUCACUGACAGUACAGAAAAAGAGUAUAUACAUAUCAAAUAAGUAGAAGAACAAAAGCAAAUUAAAGCCUAAUCAAUCCACUGGUUGUUACAGGGGUUGAGGGAAAGGAGGCUCUCCCCAAGUCUCCAUUCUCCAGUGCUCCCUUAAGAACAGUUACGAGUAACCAUAGGCUUAGAGGGCCACAUUCUGUAGUCGCCAUUAUUAGUUAGCCAGGGGCUAAAUUCUUGCUGGUAAAAAGUAAGCAGUAGUUGUCGGAUGGGAAUUCCAAGGAAGCUCUUUAAAUCACUGUCCAACAGAAAUAUAAAGUGAGCCACACAUGAAAACUUGAUAUGUAAUUUAAUUUUUUCUAGUAGCUGCCUUAAAAAAGUAGGAAGAGACAGGUUAAUUUUUUUAAUUUAAUUUUAGAGAUAGGGUCUUGUUCUGUCACCUAGGCUCAAGUGCAGUGGCGCUAUCAUAGCUCACUGCAGCCUUGAAAUCCUAGCCUCAAGCAAUCCUCCUGCCUCAAUCUUCCAAAGUGCUGGGAUUACAGGCUUGAGUCACCAUGCCUGGGCUAUUAAUUUGAAUAAUGUACUUUAUAUAAACCAAUAUAUCCAAAAUAUUAUUUCAACAUGAAAUCAAUAUAAUAAAUGGUUAACUUCCAUAUUUUUUGUAUGAAAUCUUGAAAUUCUGGUGUGCAUUUUACACUUUCAGCACAUUUCAGUUCAGGCUAUGCCCAUUUCAAAUGCUCAAUAGCCACAUACAGCUGGUGGCUAUCAUAUUAGGGAGCAGAGUUUUAAAUGGACAAGUAUUUUGUGUUCUCCUGCCUGUCUUCUUUUUCUGAAAUGCAAUACAUUUGUGUUGGCUGGAACUUCAGCAACUCUCCUAGACUCUGAGUUUCCUUGAGGUCAGAAGCUAUGGAAGCUGAAUUCUGGAUGCCUUUGUAAUCCACUUAGCAGCCACAGGCUGCCAAAGUCUGGAUUUCUUUUACAUGGCUAUAAUAAUAUCAGACAAUACAAACUAUGCCAAAAGUCAUUCAUAGUGAUGAAAAGGGCCAAUAGAUAAUAACAGGAAGAUAGGGAGACAGUACAGUAUAUUGGUAAAGGGCAUGUUUUUAGGAACCAUAAUAUCUAGGUACAAAUCCUGAUGUCUCCAGGUACUGAGAACUUGAAUAAGUUAUUUAAGCUCUCCAAACUUUUCCUCAACCAUAAAAUUGGGAUAGUAACACCUCUCUCAGAGUUAUUGUAAUGACUAAGUUAAUGUAUGUAACAUAUUUAGAUUAUGUGAGUUGCACAGUAAUUACUUUGUAAGAGUCAGCUCUUGUUAAAUCUUUAGGAAAAUAUAAUAAUUCUAAACUUGUAAACACUUAACAAUGUAAACUUCAAAUAUAUAAAGCAAAAUUGGCAAGAUCAUGCAGAGUGGUUGAUAAAUCCACACUCCUAGUUCAAGAGUUUGAUACUUCUCCCAGUGACUGACAAAUAGAGCAGACAAAGAACAAAAAAAAGUGAAUAAAUAAAUGUGAUUAGUGUGCCUUUGACAAGCUUUAAAUUUGGUGGCCUUCAAAUUUUAAACUGGGCUGCUUGACAGCUAUCACAAAUAUGAAAACAUAUCAGUUAGGAUAAUUUUUAUUACUGGGAAAAAAGAACACUAUUUUCUUAGGUUUACUAUGCUACUUAUAUUUGAGGAAUUAUGAAACAUCUAUGUGCUCAAUUUUUUAGUUUCCUCCCAUUCUAU